rnacentral:tRNA from 2 species
GCCCGAGUGGCGGAAUGGUAGACGCAGGGGAUUCAAAAUCCCCCGCCGCAAGGCGUGUCGGUUCGAGUCCGACCUCGGGCACCA